GGAGUUAGCCGGUGCUUCUUCUGCGAGUAACGUCACAGAUGUAAGGUAUUAACUUACACCCUUUCCUCCUCGCUGAAAGUGCUUUACAACCCGAAGGCCUUCUUCACACACGCGGCAUGGCUGCAUCAGGGUUUCCCCCAUUGUGCAAUAUUCCCCACUGCUGCCUCCCGUAGGAGUCUGGGCCGUGUCUCAGUCCCAGUGUGGCUGAUCAUCCUCUCAGACCAGCUAGGGAUCGUCGCCUAGGUGAGCCUUUACCUCACCUACUAGCUAAUCCCACCUGGGCUUAUCCAUCAGCGCAAGGCCCGAAGGUCCCCUGCUUUCCCCCGUAGGGCGUAUGCGGUAUUAGCAGUCGUUUCCAACUGUUAUCCCCACAAAUGGGCAAAUUCCCAGGCAUUACUCACCCGUCCGCCGCUCGUCAUCUUCAAACGCAAGCUUUUACGAAAUGUUACCGCUCGAACUUGCAUCGUGUUAGGCCUGCCGCCAGCGUUCAAUCUAAGCCAGGAUCAACUCUGA
rnacentral:rRNA from 1 species